rnacentral:rRNA from 1 species
UACGUAGGGGGCAAGCGUUAUCCGGAUUUACUGGGUGUAAAGGGAGCGUAGACGGAGCAGCAAGUCUGAUGUGAAAACCCGGGGCUCAACCCCGGGACUGCAUUGGAAACUGUUGAUCUGGAGUGCCGGAGAGGUAAGCGGAAUUCCUAGUGUAGUGGUGAAAUGCGUAGAUAUUAGGAGGAACACCAGUGGCGAAGGCGGCUUACUGGACGGUAACUGACGUUGAGGCUCGAAAGCGUGGGGAGCAAAC